UACGAAGGGGGCUAGCGUUGCUCGGAAUCACUGGGCGUAAAGAGCACGUAGGCGGAUCCUUAAGUCGGGGGUGAAAUCCUGGAGCUCAACUCCAGAACUGCCUUCGAUACUGAGGAUCUCGAGUCCGGGAGAGGUGAGUGGAACUGCGAGUGUAGAGGUGAAAUUCGUAGAUAUUGGGAAGAACACCGGUGGCGAAGGCGGCGCUCUGGACCGAGACUGACGCUGAGGCGCGAAAGCGUGGGGAGCAAACAGG
rnacentral:rRNA from 1 species